rnacentral:rRNA from 1 species
UACGUAGGUGGCAAGCGUUGUCCGGAAUUAUUGGGCGUAAAGCGCGCGCAGGCGGUCCUUUAAGUCUGAUGUGAAAGCCCACGGCUCAACCGUGGAGGGUCAUUGGAAACUGGGGGACUUGAGUGCAGGAGAGAAGAGUGGAAUUCCACGUGUAGCGGUGAAAUGCGUAGAGAUGUGGAGGAACACCAGUGGCGAAGGCGGCAUCCUGGACCGGUACUGACGCUGAGGCGCGAAAGCGUGGGGAGCGAACAGG